UUUAUCUCGACUGUCCUCUUCCAUUCGAACCUGCCAGUAUCCACUGUUGAGGUCCAAUGUGGAAAAAACGACAGCACCACUCAAAGACUCAAGAAUUUCUUGAAUGGUAGGAAGUGGAUAGGCAUCUGAUUGAGUGACUGAAUUUAGCUUCCGGAAGUCCACACAGAAACGGUAACCACCAGUUUUCUUGGGAAUCAGUACCACAGGAGAGGCCCAUGCGGAAGAGGAAGGUUCAAUGACAUCAGCAACUAGCAUUUCAUCAAUGAGUUGUGUGAUAAUCUUCUGUUUUGUAGGAGAAACUUGAUAAGGCUUUUGUUUUAUAGGAAUGUCUUGUGUGACAUAAAUUCGGUGUGUCAAAACACUUGUUUUAUCCAACACAUCUGUGCAGACAUUCGAGUUCUGGUUGAGUUGUUUUAGAAAAAGUUCCUUUCCUUUUUCGUCUAGACAGGUGUUUUGGCUUGCUAUAUAGAGCUGGUUGGGUUCUUCAGUGGUGGUAACAGGGGGAAGAGCAGAAAAUAGAGCCAGAGGUGACAGGUUAUGCCAGUCAUGGAAAUGAGAAUCAUUUUUCAGAAAAUUAUAUUUUUGGUCAGACUGAAACCAGUAGACAUUGUUCUGAAUGUCCAAUUGCAUCCCACUGAAGUACAAAUAGUCUAAACCCAAAACAACAGGAAAAGCAAGCAUCUGUGGUGCAAGGAGAACAACAGGCAAGGUGACUUUUAAGGUUUGUACCGCAAGCUGCACUUCACCCCAUCCUAAGGGUUGCCGUGCUCCUCCAUCAGCUAGAUAAAUGGGACCCUCAGUCCACGGUCUGAGCUGUUGGGUGUGAUAACCCAUGGUUAACCACAAUUUCUCAUUUAGCAGGGUAUAAGAAGAUCCUGUGUCAACCAAAGCUUGGCCUUGCCAAGAAUCAAUGUUUACUGGAACAAUCAACUGCUGAGGUAGAGAUGAGGAGAAAGGAUGAGUAGGUCCACCCUGAGGACAAGAUGCUGGAGGGUGAGGGCCCUUACACCGCCAACAAAAGGGAGGUUUGGAAGUGUCCUGAGGUACUGGUGUGGUGACUGGAUUAUUCAACGGAACAGAAGCAGGACUGGUUUGUCGGGGUUUCCAAGGUUUUUUCCGUUGUUCAUAUUGUGUCUGGUUUUCUUGUCUUUUUCCAGCUGUUGUCCAAGACGCACUAAACCAUCAACAGACAUAACUCCGUCACUUCGCAGUUGACUUGCCAUCUGAGGAUUAAUGUUCUUCAAGAUCAAUUUAAUGACUUCAUCCUCUGCAAUUUGUGGCUUCCAGCGUUUGCAUAGAGCUCGAUACAUAAUGCAGCCAGAAACUUGGACUCAAACUCCUGCUAAGUGGUUGUCUCAAGUCGAGCCACAUCCCACCAGUCUCUAGCUGUUCCAUGGAGGACAUUCCUAAGGGUAGCUAUCAAUUCUUCAUCUGAAAGGGGAUGGAGAGCCAGGAAAUCAUAACAUUUCUCAAGGAAGAUCAAAGGAUCAUCACAGUCUUCUAUUCGACCAAAACAGGGAAACUGGAUUUUAAUGGGCUGUUUACCCAAAAAACGUCCUUUACCUUCAGCAAUGGUAAUCGAUUCAGUUGUGGGAUUAAGCUCAGAAUCACACAGUCCAUAUUGAAGUGUUGAAUGAAGUCGCUGUAAUCUGGUGUUCACUACUGGAGUGUCCACCACAGUAGAAGGGGAUGGUGAUGUAAUUGUUUGCACCGAAGCAUUUGCCUUCACUGAACUCUGUUGUGAUGACUGGAGAGCUUCAAUGUUCGAAGCUAAUUGAUGAAAUUGUCGUGUGCACUGGUGAAUUUCAUCUUGUAAAUCACUGUUUGAGUUUAUCUGAGUCAUAAAGGUGUUCAUUUGUUGAGUACAUUGGUCUGUAGCCUUUUGUAUGAGCCCCAGAGUAUUAGCCAUAGGUUCCAUAACAGCAUUGAAAUCCUUCAAUACUUCUACAUGAUGAUUCUUUAGUCGCAAAUGCAGCAUGUUAUUAAACUCCUUCCUGAAAUACUCAAACUGAUCACUCAUAAGUUGUUUAAUUUCUGUGGUUUGUUUCACAGAUGCAGUAUCUACAUUCAAAGUACAAGUAUCAACAGCAUGUUUCAAUUCUCCAAUUUCAGUGAACAACGUGUCUUUUAAAUUCUGAUAUUGUGCUCUGGUCAUUGCAAUCAAUGGUUGACAUGUCAGAGUGUCCGUGAAUCCAGACGCUCCUAAUGAAGGCUGAGAUGAAGGAGAUAAUGGGGGUCUGAGAUCAUAACUUUCUGUUAAAUCCAUAUCCAGCAGAGUAUAUUGAGAUGAAAGAGCCUGAAAUCUUUCCAAUGUACUAGUAAGAGUAGAAGUUCAUCCUGCUUUGAGGAAAUCACGUCAAUAAGAUCCUCUGUAAAUGACUGAGUAAGCGUUUGGUUUUGAACUCCCUCCAUUUCAGGGCAAGACUUGCUUGAAGAGGCAGCCAUUUUGUUUGUUUGGAGGUAUUGUUGGAUUUUAGUAGUGUUGAAUGAGGAAGUGUUGCUUUGAGUGUAUAUCCUACUCACAAGUUAGUUUUUGUGAGUCCCAUCUGGGGUGCCACUUUUCUGUAACGUUUUCCCCCACUUUUUGUUAGGUUCUUUGCUGGGGUGCCAGACAGGGUUACUGUCAUAAAUUAAAUUAUAGUUCGAGAAAACGUACAAGGAUCUUGUGUAUUCUGUGUCUGUGUAGUCGUACACAAAACCCCCUAACUUUAUGAGAAAGGAUUGAACUUAUGCAAUAUCACCAGUAUUAAUCACUCCAAAAUAGAACACAACCAUUCAAUCCAAGACACAUAAACCUUUAAACUCAAUAUAUUUUCAAAAAAGGUUUCAGCAUGAAUUAGAAUUUUCCAUUAGAAGUUAGAAGAAAAACAAGAAAAACAGAUCAUCAACAAAAACACACACAAAAAAUUACAAUUCAAAAGUGUUUGAUCACAAAUGAUGACCACAAUGAAACACAUGAGGCCCAGAGCAAUAAAGCAGUUCACAAUGCUUUGCAGCAAUAACAGUUCACACAGUCAAAUGGAGAGCAAAAAAUACUCUGCAGUGAAAUGAUAGUUCGCACAGUCAAUAGGUGAGCAAAAUAUAAAAAUAAAUCAAUGCUCUCUGCAACAGGAUUAAUGUACUCACGAAUCGUUUUCUCAAGUCCACGCCACCUUUUGUAUGGUUUCGGGUACGUUAGCACGCAGCUGUAGAGUUCCGCUCCAUUAGUCCACUUCGGGUUUUGGAACUUCUCACUCUGACUCGUAGUAUUGGGUUUCUCUCCCCGCAGCGUCUCAACGACAAUCCGCUAGACACACAACGACGGUGAUAAUGUAAUUCCUUUCCGUGUUUCAGACGAGCGGUGACAUCGAAUCCAUUUGGAUAAACUAAUAAGACUCUGACCGCGGAUAAACAACAAAUCGCCGCGGGAGUCUUAGGAGCUCCGCAAGGUACUCAACAGCAAAACAACCGCUCCGGCCAACUUACUUCGUCAUCAAUAUAUAGGUAAAAAAGGGUGGACUUAACCCGUUGACAUCUUGAUCCGUAUCCAUAGCAUAUUGACAUAUGUUUUAGUACAAAAGAAUGAGCACAAUACAUUUUCACAGAUGCAUCAUGACAGAUGAAUGCAAGUCAAAUUAGUAAUAUAUUUAUUUAUUUUCUGAUGACAUCGUCACAACACAUGCGUCAUUUCCAUCUUUGCAAGUAUCCUCAUAAACACGACCAUUUAGGGCUUAAGAGAAAGUGAACAGCUAAGAGAAAAUGCACAUGUUACAAUGGGUCCGACUUUGCUCUUAAAGGGGAAGUUACCUAAUUUGGCUCCUGUCUAUCACUCAUGUUUAUGAAACAGCAUUAAGAGAAAAUCUCUCACUGCUCUUGACUAAAUCACUUUUCUACCUUAAAUAAAAGAAAUAUAUACAUACAUACAUAAUUAUUUUUAUCAUUCUUUUAUCAUUGACUGUUUAUCUUCAGAGAGCUUGAGUUUAGUUUGUUUUUAUCUUCUUUUUAUGCUUGUAUAAGGUUUUUGUGAGAAUUAUGAACAUU